GACGAACGCUGGCGGCGUGCCUAAUACAUGCAAGUUGAGCGCUGAAGGUUGGUACUUGUACCAACUGGAUGAGCAGCGAACGGGUGAGUAACGCGUGGGGAAUCUGCCUUUGAGCGGGGGACAACAUUUGGAAACGAAUGCUAAUACCGCAUAAAAACUUUAAACACAAGUUUUAAGUUUGAAAGAUGCAAUUGCAUCACUCAAAGAUGAUCCCGCGUUGUAUUAGCUAGUUGGUGAGGUAAAGGCUCACCAAGGUGAUGUUACAUAGCCGACCUGAGAGGGUGGUCAGCCACAUUGAGACUGAGACACGGCCCAAACGCCUAGGGGAGGCGGCAGUAGGGCAACGGCAGGCAUGAGUGAAAAUCAGAGCACACAGCGCCGCGUGCGGAAAGAGGGAUGUCGGGUCGGAAAACACGGUUGGUGGAGAGGAAAGUUGGCGAGAGUGGAAAGCACAUCAAGUGACGGUAACUAGCCAGGAAGGAACGGCUAACUACGUG
rnacentral:rRNA from 1 species